GCAUAUCAAUAAGCGGAGGAAAAGAAACCAACCGGGAUUGCCUUAGUAACGGCGAGUGAAGCGGCAAAAGCUCAAAUUUGAAAUCUGGCGUCUUCGACGUCCGAGUUGUAAUUUGAAGAAGGCGACUUUGUAGCUGGUCCUUGUCUAUGUUCCUUGGAACAGGACGUCAUAGAGGGUGAGAAUCCCGUGUGGCGAGGAUCCCAGUUAUUUGUAAAGUGCUUUCGACGAGUCGAGUUGUUUGGGAAUGCAGCUCUAAGUGGGUGGUAAAUUCCAUCUAAAGCUAAAUAUUGGCGAGAGACCGAUAGCGAACAAGUACAGUGAUGGAAAGAUGAAAAGAACUUUGAAAAGAGAGUGAAAAAGUACGUGAAAUUGUUGAAAGGGAAGGGCAUUUGAUCAGACAUGGCGUUUGCUUCGGCUUUCGCUGGGCCAGCAUCAGUUUUAGCGGUUGGAUAAAUCCUCGGGAAUGUGGCU
rnacentral:rRNA from 1 species